rnacentral:rRNA from 1 species
GUGGGGAAUAUUGGACAAUGGGCGAAAGCCUGAUCCAGCCAUGCCGCGUGUGUGAAGAAGGUCUUCGGAUUGUAAAGCACUUUAAGUUGGGAGGAAGGGCAGUAAGUUAAUACCUUGCUGUUUUGACGUUACCGACAGAAUAAGCACCGGCUAACUACGUGCCAGCAGCCGCGGUAAUACGUAGGGGGCAAGCGUUGUCCGGAAUGAUUGGGCGUAAAGGGCGCGUAGGCGGCCUGGUAAGUCUGGAGUGAAAGUCCUGCUUUUAAGGUGGGAAUUGCUUUGGAUACUGUCGGGCUUGAGUGCAGGAGAGGUAAGCGGAAUUCCCGGUGUAGCGGUGAAAUGCGUAGAGAUCGGGAGGAACACCAGUGGCGAAGGCGGCUUACUGGACUGUAACUGACGCUGAGGCGCGAAAGUGUGGGGAGCAAACAGGAUUAGAUACCCUUGUAGUCC